UAGGCCCCCGCGAGGUUCUUGCCGCAGCCAAUAACGUCUCGUGGUUUCCCAGCCCAUUGUUGUUUAUUGCUGACCUCUCAGCGCUCCGCUAGGAGAUUGGCCGCUCCAGGGAAGGGGCGGAGCUUCUCCCGCCCCGGCAGCAACCUUUCGGCUCCAUUCACAAAAUUCCGGCCUUUCCUGGUCACGUGGUUGGGGGCGUGGAGGGGCAAGGGAAAUGACACAACAAAGGCCUAAGUUUCCCAAACCACAAAACUUUUUUCUACCUCGCUACCUCCUCUGUGAUUCGUCGCUGAGCAAAUACUCUAUGAGGAAAAGGAGCCUUAGGUCUGACAAGAGGAAAAGAAGUCGUAAAUUAAAGGAAGGCUCGCAUGGAGAUAAUCUCAGGGUGCACUCUCUAUGAGAAAAGCAGUGAAAGGCUUUUCGAGAAUUAAGUAGGUUGAGAAGAAAGCCUCAAGACAGACUAGUAACUUGCUGCUUCAAGCCAAUGCUUUUAGAAGUGCAAACAGUUCGAUUUCAGAUGGAUUUCAGUUUUCUCACCUAACUUCCUGAAAAGCCAAUAGACCCAGUUGCUGAAGAAUUGGAAGGACUAAAAAUCUGUUUUUCAAAAAAAGUUACCAUUGUGGAAAAUGUCUACAGAGGCAGCUGUUCUAUCCACAGAGAGGAACUUCAAAAGUUGCACAGAAUUUCCACUACUUCUGAAAACUUCUAGUAUUGUUUGUCAAAUCAGAGAAUAUUCUUUCAUGGCAGCUAUUAGCUGGAGCUGGACACUGCUACUCCUUAAGAAGCAACCUGUUCCACCCAGAAAAGAAGUUACUUAUGAAUGAAAGUCUUACCCUUGUUAGGAAAGAGGAGGAUCAUUUGAAUCAAUAAAGGAAGGCAUUAUCAGAAAGGCAUUCAGGAAGCAGAAUCCCAUGCCUCAGAACCACACUGGAAUCAAGGAGUUUCAUGGGACGACUGGAAGAUGGGGGAAGGCAACUUCAGUCAACAUGACUCCUAAAGACAUACUCAAUAUGCAAGCCUACUUCUUGAAAGCCUUUUAGAAGUGGCUUUUCCUUAAAGUUUACGGCAGAACCAACUCUAUAUCAGACACCAUGCUAAACUCUAUGCAGGGCACAGGUGGGUACUGAUUUCUCUGCUUUCCUUUACAUUUGUGUCCAGCUUGCUGUGUAUCUCCUUAAAUCCUUAAGGAACUUAUUAAACCAUGAAGAAUAAAGGAAAAAUAAAAAGCCUAGUCUGAAAUGUAAGCAGAAAGUCUCUUAAAGAUACAAUAUAUAUACUUGAAAAAAUACAUCGAAUGAGAGCUAAAGAAUGUCUUUAAUUCCUUUAAAAGAAUAAUUCAUCACUGAUGCUGGACAUUUGGACAUGAGAGAGAUACAUUGGAUAAUCCUUCAAGGUCGCAGUCCAGACAUGUACUCUGGCCUAUGCUUCAGUAUAAACUUUUCAUUGUUUAAUAACAUGGAGAGAGCCUGGAAGCUUUUCAUAGAAAUGGAAGACAUAGAACAAGGUGCCAAAAUUAUUUAUUUAGGAUAUGAUGAUUCAUUGGGAACCAAAGAGAAUCAACUAAAAUUGUUUUAAAACCAACGUAUAAAUACAAAAAGUGGAUACAAAAUAAAUAUAUCUACAUGAAUAACAUUCUUACAUUUAUUUUAUUUUAAAUUUUCUAAUGUUUAUUUAUUUUUGUGAGAGAGAGACAGAAUGCAACCAGGGGAGGGGCAGAGAGAGAAGCAGACACAGAAUCUGAAGUAGGAUCCAGGCUGUCAGCACAGAGCCUGAUAGGGGACGUGAACUUGAGAGCCAUGAGAUCAUGACCUAAGCCAAAGUCAGACUCUCAACUGACUGGGCCACCCAGGCGCCUCUGAAUAAUAUUCUU